CCUACGGGAGGCUGCAGUCGAGGAUCUUCGGCAAUGGGCGCAAGCCUGACCGAGCGACGCCGCGUGCGCGACGAAGGCCUUCGGGUUGUAAAGCGCUGUCGAGGGGGAGGAAAGCCGCAAGGCCUGACCGACCCCUGGAGGAAGCACGGGCUAAGUUCGUGCCAGCAGCCGCGGUAAGACGAACCGUGCGAACGUUGUUCGGAAUCACUGGGCUUAAAGGGCGCGUAGGCGGGCGACCCGGUCGGGGGUGAAAUACCACCGCUCAACGGUGGCAGGGCCUCCGAUACCGGCCGCCUGGAGGAGGAUAGGGGCACGCGGAACUUCCGGUGGAGCGGUGAAAUGCGUAGAGAUCGGAAGGAACGCCGGCGGCGAAAGCGGCGUGCUGGAUCCUUGCUGACGCUGAGGCGCGAAAGCCAGGGGAGCGAACGGGAUUAGAUACC
rnacentral:rRNA from 1 species